rnacentral:rRNA from 1 species
CUUGGUCAUUUAGAGGAAGUAAAAGUCGUAACAAGGUUUCCGUAGGUGAACCUGCGGAAGGAUCAUUAUUGAAUAAACUGAUAAGUUGCUGCUGGUUCUCUAGGGAGCAUGUGCACACUUGUCAUCUUUAUAUCUUCUCACCUGUGCACCUUUUGUAGACCUAGGUCUAUGUCUUCAUAUACUCUUAUUGUAUGUUAUUGAAUGUAAUAUAGGCCUUUUGUGCCUUUAAAUCUUAUACAACUUUCAGCAACGGAUCUCUUGGCUCUCGCAUCGAUGAAGAACGCAGCGAAAUGCGAUAAGUAAUGUGAAUUGCAGAAUUCAGUGAAUCAUCGAAUUUUUGAACGCACCUUGCGCUCCUUGGUAUUCCGAGGAGCAUGCCUGUUUGAGUGUCAUUUAAUAUAUCAACCUCUUGUUGAGUGUUGGAAGUGGGGGGUCUUUUUUGCUGGUCUCUAGAUCAGCUCCCCUGAAAUGUAUUAGCAGAACAAUCCUGUUCAUUGGUGUGAUAAACUAUUUACACUAUUGACAUGAGCAAAGUUCAGCUUCUAAUAGUCCAUUGACUUGGACAAAAAAUUUCAUUAAUGUGACCUCAAAUCAGGUAGGACUACCCGCUGAACUUAAGCAUAUCAAUAAGCGGAGGA